rnacentral:siRNA from 1 species
AUAACAAGGAAUGUACGUAUAUA